UCUCUUUCUCUCUCUUCUCCUCACGAUACACUCCCUUCCCCCUUCUCCCUCUCUCUCUCUCUCUCCUCNAAAUACAUUGCAAAUACCAAAUUAAAAUACUUAUGGGGUAUAAUCUAGAUUGAUUAAAAGAGAUAACAACAACAACAACAACAACAACAACAAUAAUAAUAAUAAUAACAAAAUAUAAUAACAAUAACAAUAACAAUAACAAUAACAAUAAAAAUAAUAAUAAUAAUACUAAUAAUAAAAAUAACAAUAAUAAUAAAAUAUGAACUAGUAUAAUAAUAAUAUAGUUCGUAUUAUAAUAAUAAUAAUAAUAAUAAUAAUAAUAAAGAGUAAAUAUAUAAAACUAUCCACUUUCAUAUUGUAAAGAUAAAAAUUGUCCACUAAGAUAAAAAUAAUAAAAACUGUCCACUUUUUGAUUGAAAAGACAGAAAAUACCCCUCCCCUAAAAAAUAAAAAUCUCUACUCUCUCUCUCUCUACUCCUCUCUCUCUCUCUCUCUCUCUCUCUCUCUCUCUCUCUCUCUCUCUCUCUCUCUUUCAUCUCUCUCUUCACUCUCUUCUCUCUCAGCUCUCUGCCGCCCCGUCGCCACCCUCUGAUUCUCGGCGAGCAGCGGUUACAAGGCUGCCACCACCGCGAUUCUGGGUCGCUUGAGGCCGAGCAGUCCAUCGCCGGAAAAAAUGGCCUCUCUUACCAAUCUCUCUCUUUCUCAUGCUCGAUCUCCAGUUCAGAUCUAAGCUGGUCCGUCACCGGGUCACGCCGCCCUCCACCACGCAGCUUCUCCUGCGAAAUCGCCGUCGAUUGCCGUCUAUCUCCACCGCCUUCAUCUCCGCCGCCGCCUUAAUCCUUAGGUUGCUGGUUCAAAUCCGGCAGUGGUUGUGGGGGGAUGUUGCAGAUCUAGGGUUCCAGGCGGCUUGGGGCUUGAAAUCCGAAGCGCCGCCGCCUCGGCCUCGUCGCCUCCACCAUCUCCUGCUUCGCCCCCUGCCGCGAAGCGCCGCCGCCCCCGGCCUCGUCGCCUCUGCCAUCUUCUUCUUCACCCCCCGCCGCGAAGCGCCGCCGCCCAGGCCUCGUCAUCUCUGCCCCGGCCUCGUUGCCUCCGCCAUCUCCGACGUCAGGUAGGGUGGAGGCGGUGUUGCUGAGGACGGUGUUUGGCGUCUGGCAGAGGCCGCCGGGAAGUGGUCUGGGCGGCGAGAGGAAAGGCGCAUUGCAGCGCGCUCAGAGGCGGCGCGUUUUCCCAGGCAAAAAAAACCUAGUUCCAUAUCUAAGUAAUUUUGGGGAUUUUUGUUUUAAUUCCUUGAAAAAAAGUUUAGAUCUGAUACGUCUGUGAAUGAUUUUCGUUCUAAGAUCUGUUGAGAUUGUUGAUUCGGAGAUUGAAUGUUGUGAUUGUUGAUUCGAAGGAAUUGUUGUAUUUUAAUUGUAGAUUGAAUUGAUUCGAAUAAUAUUUUUGUUGUAUUUUGAUUGUUGAUUUAGAGGAAUUGAUGUAUUUUGAUGGUAGAUUGAGUUGUUGUAUUUUAGUGUUGUACAGCAAUUUGAUUGAGCUGUAUAAUUAUUUUUUUAAUGUUCUUAAAUUCACAACCAAAUUUAUGAAUUCACAGCAGCUUAAUGUUUUUGAAUUCACGACCACAUCUAUGAAUUCACAACUUAAUAUUCUUGAAUUCACAAUCAGA
rnacentral:lncRNA from 1 species